rnacentral:rRNA from 1 species
CCUACGGGGCGCAGCAGUGAGGAAUCUUGGUCAAUGGACGAGAGUCUGAACCAGCCAAGUCGCGUGAAGGAUGACUGCCCUAUGGGUUGUAAACUUCUUUUAUAUGGGAAUAAAAUGUUCCACGUGUGGGAUUUUGUAUGUACCAUAUGAAUAAGGAUCGGCUAACUCCGUGCCAGCAGCCGCGGUAAUACGGUGGAUCGGUGCGUUAUCCGGAUUUAUUGGGUUUAAAGGGCGCGUAGGUGGUUUGUUAAGUCAGUUGUGAAAGUUUCCGGCUCAACCGGAAAAUGGCAGUUGAAAAUGGCAGUCUUGAGUACAGUAGAGGAGAGCGGAAUUCGUGGUGUAGCGGUGAAAUGCGUAGAUAUCGCGAAGAACUCCGAUUGCGAAGGCAG